rnacentral:rRNA from 1 species
AUUGAACGCUGGCGGCGUGCCUAACACAUGCAAGUCGAGCGGCAGCGCGGGAGCAAUCCUGGCGGCGAGCGGCGGACGGGUGAGUAAUGCUUGGGAAUCUGCCUGUUAGUGGGGACAACCCGGGGAAACUCGGGCUAAUACCGCAUACGCACUACGGUGGAAAGCCGGGGACCGCGAAGGCCUGGCGCUAAUAGAUGAGCCCAAGUCGGAUUAGCUAGUUGGUAGGUAACGGCCACCAAGGCGACGAUCCGUAACUGGUCUGAGAGGACGACCAGUCACACCGGAACUGAGACACGGUCCGGACUCCUACGGGAGGCAGCAGGUGGGGAAUAUUGGACAAGUGGGGGAAACCCUGAUCCAGCGACGCCGCGUGGGUGAAGAAGGCCUGCGGGUUGUAAAG